GUAGCAAUAAAUUACCUGUGGAACCAAAAGGAGAAAGAGGCAAAAAUAACUUGGAGCCAAGUCACCAGUCACAAAGGCAAAAAGAAGCUUCCUAAUAUUUUGAUAACUAAUGUGUUCCUCUGCUCACUUUCUAACUGGUCUAACCAAAACCCAACAGUCUUACUGUCAGAGUCAUCUGAAGAGUGUGUAUGCAUGCUCUGCACCUGGAUUGAAGUUGCCUCCUCCAAUUCCUUAGACCCAGAUUUUGUUUACAAUUGAGGUUUGUUUGAAAUUAUCUGCAAAUUUCAAGUCUUCUGUUCUGAUUAGACUAUCUCAGGGGUAGAACACCACUGACUCAACAGAGAAAUAGCCAGCUCCUCCUAGUGGAACUUUUCUUAAAACCUUAUUGGUUUUAGGGGGAAAAAAAUACUAUUUGUUUCUUUCAUAAGCACUUCAUGGGAACAAGAAUAUUUUAUUGUGAUUUUCGAAAAAGAAAGCCGGUAAAUUGACCAGUCUUACCCUGUGAAGCGAAGCAAAGAAUCAUUACAUUUCAGCAAAUUAAAAAUAGUUAUCAGGCUUUCAUCAAGGAGGAGGAAGAAUCCUGUCAACUUAAGGAGAAUUGAACAUAAAUUUGUUAAUUUUAUAUUUGAUUAUAUUUUAGGGGCUUUAAAUAUUUUCUGACAAGGUCAUGGCGCCCCUAGUUGAUGACAUUGAUUGGAAGCUAGAUUUAAUGUAUGCCCGCUAUUUCCUUCAGUGCUGCACAGGCUUCUGUGAAGGGGAUGUCACCUUUUCCCUUUUUCCAAGAUGGCUCAAGAUUCAGUAGAUCUUUCUUGUGAUUAUCAGUUCUGGAUGCAGAAGCUUUCUGUAUGGGAUCAGGCUUCCACUUUGGAAACUCAGCAAGACACCUGUCUUCACCUGGCUCAGUUCCAGGAGUUCCUGAGGAAGAUGUAUGAAGCCUUGAAAGAGAUGGAUUCUAAUACAGUUAUUGAAAGAUUCCCCACAAUUGGUCAACUAUUGGCAAAAGCUUGUUGGAAUCCUUUUAUUUUAGCAUAUGAUGAAAGCCAAAAAAUUCUAAUAUGGUGCUUAUGUUGUCUGAUUAACAAAGAACCACAGAAUUCUGGACAAUCAAAACUUAACUACUGGAUACAGGGUUUAUUAUCUCAUAUACUUUCAGCACUCAGAUUUGAUAAAGAAGUUGCUCUUUUCACUCAAGGUCUUGGAUAUGCACCUAUAGAUUACUAUCCUGGUUUGCUUAAAAAUAUGGUUUUAUCAUUAGCAUCUGAACUCAGAGAGAAUCAUCUUAAUGGAUUUAACACUCAAAGGCGAAUGGCUCCCGAACGAGUGGCAUCCCUGUCACGAGUUUGUGUCCCACUUAUUACCCUGCCAGAUGUCGACCCCCUGGUGGAGGCUUUGCUCAUCUGUCAUGGACAUGAACCUCAGGAAAUCCUCCAGCAAGAGUUCUUUGAGGCUGUAAACGAGGCCAUUUUGCUGAAGAAGAUUUCUCUCCCCGUGUCAGCUGUAGUCUGCCUCUGGCUUCGGCACCUUCCCAGCCUUGAAAAAACAAUGCUGCAUCUUUUUGAAAAGCUAAUCUCCAGUGAGAGAAAUUGUCUGAGAAGGAUCGAAUGUUUUAUAAAAGAUUCAUUGCUGUCUCAAGCAGCCUGCCACCCUGCCAUAUUCCGGGUUGUUGAUGAGAUAUUCAGGUGUGCACUCCUGGAAACCGAUGGGGCCCCAGAAGUCAUAGCCACUAUUCAAGUGUUUACACAGUGCUUUGUAGAAGCUCUGGAGAAAGAAAACAAGCAGCUGCAGUUUACACUCAAGACCUACUUUCCGUACACUUCUCCAUCUCUUGCCACGGUGCUGCUACAAGACCCUCAAGGUAUCCCUCAGGGACAGUGGCUCCAGACAUUGAAGCACAUUUCUGAACUGCUCAGAAAAGCGGUUGAAGAUCAGACUCACGGGUCCUGCAGAGGUCCCUUUGAGAGCUGGUUCUUGUUCAUUCACUUUGGAGGAUGGGCUGAGAUGGCAGCCGAGCAGUUACUGAUGUCAGCAGCUGAACCCCCCACGGCCGUGCUGUGGCUCUUGGCCUUCUACUACGGCCCUUGUGAUGGGAGGCAGCAGAGAACACAGACCAUGGUCCAGGUAAAGGCUGUGCUGGGCCACCUCCGGGCGAUGUGCAGAAGCACCACCCUCUCUGCCAAGGACCUCCAGACGGCAGCGGGACAGGGCACAGACACAGACCCCAGAGCUCCUGCACAACAGCUGAUCAGGCACCUUCUCCUCAACUUCCUGCUCUGGGCUCCUAGAGGCCACAUGAUUGCCCGGGAUGCCAUCACUCUGAUGGCUCACACUGCUGAGAUAACUCAUGAGAUCAUUGGCUUUCUUGACCAGACCUUGUACAGAUGGGAUCGUCUUGGUAUUGAAAGCCCUAGAUCAGGAAAACUGGCCCGAGAACUCCUUAAAGAGCUGCAAACUCAAGUCUAGCAAGGCACAUAGGCCAUGUGGGUGCCUGGCAUGAGGGAUCAGGCUCACCAAGGCCACAGAACAG
rnacentral:lncRNA from 13 species